rnacentral:rRNA from 1 species
AUUGAACGCUGGCGGAAUGCUUUACACAUGCAAGUCGAGCGGCAGCGCGGGGGCAACCCUGGCGGCGAGCGGCGAACGGGUGAGUAAUGCAUCGGAACGUACCCAGUCGUGGGGGAUAACGUGGCGAAAGUCACGCUAAUACCGCAUACGUCCUGAGGGAGAAAGCAGGGGAUCGCAAGACCUUGCGCGAUUGGAGCGGCCGAUGUCUGAUUAGCUAGUUGGUGGGGUAAAGGCCUACCAAGGCGACGAUCAGUAGCUGGUCUGAGAGGACGAUCAGCCACACUGGGACUGAGACACGGCCCAGACUCCUACGGGAGGCAGCAGUGGGGAAUUUUGGACAAUGGGCGAAAGCCUGAUCCAGCCAUUCCGCGUGAGUGAAGAAGGCC